GCCGGGUGGAGAUUAUAACAGAACAUGGCCAAGAUGUUCAAAUGUUCAUAAAUGACCAGCAUGGUCGUAUAAUAAUAAGGCAGAACAGUUGAAACUGGAGCAGCAGCACGGUCAGGUGGACUGGGGACAGCAAGGAGUCAUCAUGUCAGGUAGUCCUGGGGCAUGGACCUAGGGCUCAGGUCCUCCGAGAGAGAGAAAGAAAGAGAGAAGGAGAGAAUUAGAGAACGCACACUUAGAUUCACACAGGACACCGAAUAGGACAGGAGAAGUACUCCAGAUAUAACAAACUGACCCCAGCCCCCCGACACAUAAACUACUGCAGCAUAAAUACUGGAGGCUGAGACAGGAGGGGACAGGAGACACUGUGGCCCCAUCCGAGGACACCCCCGGACAGGGCCAAACAGGAAGGAUAUAACCCCACCCACUUUGCCAAAGCACAGCCCCCACACCACUAGAGGGAUAUCUUCAACCACCAACUUACCAUCCUGAGACAAGGCUGAGUAUAGCCCACAAAGAUCUCCGCCACGGCACAACCCAAGGGGGGGGGCGCC
ensembl:lncRNA